GCGAAGCACGAAAAAAUCGGUGUGGUCUUCUCGGUGGUCUUCGGUUCAGCAAAUUUGUGCGCUAUCUCGCCGGAUUCGCGCGGAACAUAAUUUUCAACACAGUCCGGGAGACGGAACGAAGUUUAUUCAGCAUUGCGGCUGCUGUGAGCGGUUAUUCUACAUCUGCCGCUAGUUCCAGUCAGGGACUAGACCAAUCUUUGAAGCGGCUGGAUUAAGGUGUGAAACGCUCUGGAAGAAUUUUAAGCCGAGAUCUGAAAGAUGUUCCGGAGGAAAUCCGUAUUAACCGUUCCGCUUCCAGCGCUCAAUCUUAACUGGUUAUAUUCGUUGUUGCGGCCACCUAGUUCCAGAAGGCCUUCCCGAGGUGCGUACAGCUCUGGUUCAGGAGUAAUGGAAAAAACAGCUUGAACGCAGCAAUGGACAUUUCCCACUACAACGCCCUUCUUCGGGUGUAUAUGGAUAAUGAGAAUUCCUUCUCGCCAACGGAAUUUCUGGCGGAUUUGCAGGCCAAGAGCGUUGAAUUGAAUCGGGUCACCUAUCAGCGAUUAAUUUCGCGCUACUGCCAAGAGGGAGCGAACAAGACUCUGGAAUUCUUGCGAGAGAAUCAGCUUCCAGUAAUUGGCAGCGUUUUCAACGCUGCGCCAGGACAGUUUGUUAUUCGCCACGUAUCGAUAUAGAGCGGCGCUAAAAAACGAUAUUCAAUAAAAUGUUGCAGUUAAAAAACAUUUUUCAUUUUUAUCCGAAAAUCUCCCAUGUAUAUUAAAAAUUUUACGUUUGUGUGCGUGCUCUUUUUAUGAACGAUUCCUAUAACGGUUUGAAUAAUGUUUGAAUAAAGUAAAGUCAAAUCGUUACACAACCAUUGACGUAAGCGUUUAGGAAUGAGAG